CGGGACGUAGCUCAGCCUGGUUAGAGUGCCUGCUUUGGGAGCAGGAAGCCGCGAGUUCGAAUCUCGCCGUCCCGA
rnacentral:tRNA from 2 species